GCCUCAGUAGCUCAGUAGUAGAGCGCUUGUCUCGUAAACAAGAGGCCGCGGGUGCGAUCCCCGUCUGAGGCU
rnacentral:tRNA from 1 species